rnacentral:rRNA from 1 species
GAUGAACGCUGGCGGCGUGCCUAAUACAUGCAAGUCGAGCGAACGGACGAGAAGCUUGCUUCUCUGAUGUUAGCGGCGGACGGGUGAGUAACACGUGGAUAACCUACCUAUAAGACUGGGAUAACUUCGGGAAACCGUAGCUAAUACCGGAUAAUAUUUUGAACCGCAUGGUUCAAAAGUGAAAGACGGUCUUGCUGUCACUUAUAGAUGGAUCCGCGCUGCAUUAGCUAGUUGGUAAGGUAACGGCUUACCAAGGCAACGAUGCAUAGCCGACCUGAGAGGGUGAUCGGCCACACUGGAACUGAGACACGGUCCAGGCCCCUACGGGAGGCAGCAGUAGGGAAUCUUCCGCAAUGGGCGAAAGCCUGACGGAGCAACGCCGCGUGAGUGAUGAAGGUCUUCGGAUCGUAAAACUCUGUUAUUAGGGAAGAACAUAUGUGUAAGUAACUGUGCACAUCUUGACGGUACCUAAUCAGAAAGCCACGGCUAACUACGUG